UUCGGUUCUAGCGGCGGACGGGUUAGUAACGCGUGGGAACGUGCCCUUCACUACGGAAUAGUCCCGGGAAACUGGGUUUAAUACCGUAUACGCCCUUCGGGGGAAAGAAUUUCGGUGAAGGAUCGGCCCGCGUUAGAUUAGAUAGUUGGUGGGGUAAUGGCCUACCAAGUCUACGAUCUAUAGCUGGUUUUAGAGGAUGAUCAGCAACACUGGGACUGAGACACGGCCCAGACUCCUACGGGAGGCAGCAGUGGGGAAUCUUAGACAAUGGGCGCAAGCCUGAUCUAGCCAUGCCGCGUGAGUGAUGAAGGCCUUAGGGUCGUAAAGCUCUUUCGCCAGGGAUGAUAAUGACAGUACCUGGUAAAGAAACCCCGGCUAACUCCGUGCCAGCAGCCGCGGUAAUACGGAGGGGGUUAGCGUUGUUCGGAAUUACUGGGCGUAAAGCGCGCGUAGGCGGAUUAGAAAGUUGGGGGUGAAAUCCCAGGGCUCAACCCUGGAACUGCCUCCAAAACUACUAGUCUAGAGUUCGAGAGAGGUGAGUGGAACUCCGAGUGUAGAGGUGAAAUUCGUAGAUAUUCGGAAGAACACCAGUGGCGAAGGCGGCUCACUGGCUCGAUACUGACGCUGAGGUGCGAAAGUGUGGGGAGCAAACAGGAUUAGAUACCCUGGUAGUCCACACCGUAAACGAUGAAUGCCAGUCGUCGGCGCGCAUGCGUGUCGGUGACACACCUAACGGAUUAAGCAUUCCGCCUGGGGAGUACGGUCGCAAGAUUAAAACUCAAAGGAAUUGACGGGGGCC
rnacentral:rRNA from 1 species